CCUACGGGAGGCAGCAGUGGGGAAUUUUGGACAAUGGGCGCAAGCCUGAUCCAGCAAUGCCGCGUGAGUGAAGAAGGCCUUCGGGUUGUAAAGCUCUUUUGUCAGGGAAGAAACGGUGAGGGCUAAUAUCUCUUGCUAAUGACGGUACCUGAAGAAUAAGCACCGGCUAACUACGUGCCAGCAGCCGCGGUAAUACGUAGGGUGCAAGCGUUAAUCGGAAUUACUGGGCGUAAAGCGUGCGCAGGCGGUUUUGUAAGUCUGUCGUGAAAUCCCCGGGCUCAACCUGGGAAUUGCGAUGGAGACUGCAAGGCUAGAAUCUGGCAGAGGGGGGUAGAAUUCCACGUGUAGCAGUGAAAUGCGUAGAGAUGUGGAGGAACACCGAUGGCGAAGGCAGCCCCCUGGGUCAAGAUUGACGCUCAUGCACGAAAGCGUGGGGAGCAAACAGGAUUAGAUACCCUGGUAGUCCACGCCCUAAACGAUGUCUACUAGUUGUCGGGUUUUAAUAACUUGGUAACGCAGCUAACGCGUGAAGUAGACCGCCUGGGGAGUACGGUCGCAAGAUUAAAACGUCAAAGGAUUGACGG
rnacentral:rRNA from 1 species